GAUGAACGCUGGCGGCGUGCUUAACACAUGCAAGUCGAACGGGAUCCAUCAGGCUUUGCUUGGUGGUGAGAGUGGCGAACGGGUGAGUAAUGCGUGACCGACCUGCCCCAUACACCGGAAUAGCUCCUGGAAACGGGUGGUAAUGCCGGAUGCUCCGACUCCUCGCAUGGGGUGUCGGGAAAGAUUUCAUCGGUAUGGGAUGGGGUCGCGUCCUAUCAGGUAGUCGGCGGGGUAACGGCCCACCGAGCCUACGACGGGUAGCCGGCCUGAGAGGGCGACCGGCCACAUUGGGACUGAGAUACGGCCCAGACUCCUACGGGAGGCAGCAGUGGGGAAUAUUGCACAAUGGGCGCAAGCCUGAUGCAGCGACGCCGCGUGCGGGAUGACGGCCUUCGGGUUGUAAACCGCUUUUGAUCGGGAGCAAGCCUUCGGGUGAGUGUACCUUUCGAAUAAGCACCGGCUAACU
rnacentral:rRNA from 1 species